rnacentral:rRNA from 1 species
AAUAGGUACUCUGGGGAUAACAGGCUGAUCGCGCUCGAGAGUUCAUAUCGACAGCGCGGAUUGGCACCUCGAUGUCGGCUCGUCGUAUCCUGGGGCUGAACAAGGUCCCAAGGGUCCGGCUGUUCGCCGGUUAAAACGGCACGUGAGCUGGGUUUAGAACGUCGUGAGACAGUUCGGUCUCUAUCCAGUGUGGGCGCACGAUGAUUGAAGAGAAGCUCUCCUUAGUACGAGAGGACCAGGAGAGACGAACCUCUAGUGUUCCGGUUAUCCCGCCAGGGGUAAUGGCCGGGUAGCUAUGUUCGGAAGGGAUAAGUGCUGAAUGCAUAUAAGUACGAAGCCCCUCUCAAGAUGAAUCAUCGAUCCGUAGCAAUACGGUGAAGGCACCUCGUAGACUACGAGGUUGAUAGGCAGCGUGUGUAAGCCCUGAAAGGGGUUCAGCUAAGCUGUACUAAUUAGCCAAACACUUGUCCUUUUUUU